rnacentral:miRNA from 1 species
GUGUGUGGAAAUGCUUCUGCUA